AUAACAUGGGUUGCCAUGGAUGUAACAAGAUGGGCCAGAGAGGAGAGGAUUGGAGACGUGGAAACUGAGAGAGCACACUUCUUGGGACCACACGGCGAUCUGGGACAGCCCUGAGUCCUAGUAAUCCAGAGGCACAGAAGUCCAAAGGCAACAGUCAAAUGGAAACAUAAAUCCCAGACCCUCACACCUGAACACACCACAGGCAACCUGACUGCCAGACUAACUCUGGGAAGCGACUACUAUCAAAUUUCAUGGGGAACAGACGCCUGAGGGUGACCUACAUGCAGAGGUGGGGCCAAAACCAAAGCUGAACCCAGGAGCUGUGCAAACAAAGAAGAGAAAGGGAAAUCUCUCCAUGCAGCCUCAGGAGCAGCGGAUUAAAUCCCCACAAUUAACUUGAUGUACCUUGCAUCUGUGGAAUACCUGAAUAGAAAAUGAAUCAUCCCCAAAUUGAGGAGGUGAACUUUGGGAGCAACUCUAGACUUGGGGUUUGCUGUCUGCGACUGAUUUGUUUCUGAUUUUUAUGUUUAUCGUAGUUUAGUUUUUAGCACUUGUUAUCAUUGGUGGAUUUGUUUAUUGGUUUGGUUGCUCUUUUAUUAUUUUUUUUUAUAUUUUAAUAAUUUUAUUUUUUUAUUUAUUUUUCUUUCUUUUUUUUUCUGCCUUUUCUUCUGAGCCCUGUGGCUGACAGGGUCUUGGUGCUCUGGCCUGGUGUCAGGCAUGAGCCUCCAAGGUGGGAGACCCAAAUUCAGGACAUUGGACCACCAGAGACUUCCUGGCCACAUGUAACAUCAAUCAGCGAGAGCUCUCCCAGAGAUCUCCCUCUCAACGCUAACACCCAGCUCCACCCAACAGCCAGCAAGCUCCAGUGCUGGACGCCCCAUGCCAAACAACUAGCAAGACAGGACACAAUCCCGCCCAUUAGCAGAGAGGCUGCCUAAAAUCAUACUAAGUUCACAGAUACCCCAAAACACACCACCAGACAUGGCCUGGCCCACCAGAAAGACAAGAUCCAGCCCCACCCACCAGAACACAGGCACCAGUCCCCUCCAUCAAGAAGCCUACACAAGCCACUAAACCAACCUCACCCACUGGGGGCAGACACCAAAAACAACAGGAACUAUGAACCUUCGGCCUAGGAGAAGGAAACCCCAAACACAGUAAGUUAAACAAAAUGAGAAGACAGAGAAAUAUGCAGCAGAUGAAGGAGCAAGGUAAAAGCCCACCAGACCAAACAAAUGAAGAGGAAAUAGGCAGUCUACCUGAAAAAGAAUUCAGAGUAAUGAUAGUAAAGAUGAUCCAGAAUCUUGGAAAUAGAAUGGAGAAAAUAAAAGAAACGUUUCAAGGACCUGGAAGAACUAAAGAGCAAACAAACAAUGAUGAAAGACACAAUAAAUGAAAUUAAAAAUUCUCUAGAAGGAAUCAAUAGCAGAAUAACUGAGGUAGAAGAACGGAUAAGUGACCUGCAAGAUAAAAUAGUGGAAAUAACUACCACACAACAGAAUAAAGAAAAAAGAAUGAGAAGAAUUGAGGACAGUCUCAGAGACCUCUGGGACAACAUUAAAUGCACCAACAUUCGAAUUAUAGGGGUCCCAGAAGAAGAAGAGAAAAAGAAAGAGUCUGAGAAAAUAUUUGAAGAGAUUAUAGUUGAAAACUUCCCUAAUAUGGGAAAGGAAAUAGUCAAUCAAAUCCAGGAAGCACAGAGAGUCCCAUACAGGAUAAAUCCAAGGAGAAACAUGCCAAGAUACAUACUAAUAAAACUAUCAAAAAUUAAAUACAGAGAAAAAAUAUGAAAACCAGCAAGGGAAAGCAACAAAUAACAUACAAGGGAAUCCCCAUAAGGUUAACGGCUGAACUUUCAGCAGAAACUCUGCGAGCCAGAAGGGAGUGGCAGGUCGUAUUUAAAGUGAUGAAAGGGAAAACCUACAACCAUGAUUACUCUGCCCAGCAAGGAUCUCAUUCAGAUUCAAUGGAGAAAUUAAAACCUUUACAUACCAGCUAAAGUUAAGAGAAUUCAGCACCACCAAACCAGCAUUAAAACAAAUGCUAAAGGAACUUCUCUAGGCGGGAAACACAAGAGAAGGAAAAGACCUACAAUAACAAACCCAAAACAAUUAAGAAAAUGGUAAUAGGAACA